UUAAAUUGAAGAGUUUGAUCAUGGCUCAGAUUGAACGCUGGCGGCAGGCCUAACACAUGCAAGUCGAGCGGAAACGAGUUAUCUGAACC
rnacentral:rRNA from 6 species